CGCUGAUAAAUAUAUAAAGGCGCACUUGUUCGAAGUCAAAAAUGGUUUAUGCGAUUCUUACUAAACUAAAGACUGCAAACUCCACAAAAAAGAAUUAUUUUCAAAGACGAUAUCAAUGGACUGGACCUAAUUAUGCCAGGGGGGUUCUUGUUGUUGCUACAUCAGCUGUAGUUGGUGCAGUCGGAGCUUCAAUGUUCACCAAGUACUGGCAAACAAAUUAUGAUAUUUUACCUCCUCCAAGUCACUCUGAUGAUGAAGACAGGAAAAAAUGAACCUUGAAUUCAUACACUAGAGAGUAUAUGCUGUAAGAAUCUAAUACUGAUAUGAUUCACAAGACACUGGCUGAUGGGAGGCAACUGUGAAAGAAUCAGUACUGAAAGUAUUUCUUUCCAAGAUUGAAACAUAUUGUAAUAUUAGAGCACUUGAACAGUGAUUUUCAUAGUUUGAUACAAAGAGCUAAAAUCUGAAUAUUUGUUUUUCCUUUUAUGACAUUUAUGUCUUUUGGCUUUCAUUUCAUUCUAUUUCAUACCAUUUUCAUUAUCAUUUUUUUCUAUUUUCAUUUUUUUUCCAGUUUAUUCUUUUUGUUUUUGUUUUGUUUUUGGAGAGUCUAACCUUUAUUAAGCAGUCACCCUCUAUAUAUUUAACACUCACUUACCUAAGUCCCCAAUAUUUCCCCUUAUGUUAAAUUAGACCCUUUUAAACUAGUAUGACCUCAAGUAAGUGGACAUGAUCACGGUAUAGACAUUCCAAUUCGUUUGUAAACUUACAUUUACCUUUAUUAAGUGGUCACUUAGAGUAUGACUGAUUCUUUUUUGAUGUAUUAUAAAACGUGUCAACAUUCUUUAAACAGUUUAUUACA